GUCUCCUCCCCUGCGUGUGCUCUCCCUUUCUCUCUCCCUCCGCUCCUGAGCCCAGCCAACGACCCACACCUGCACCUCGUCAGCCACCUCCUCUGCCUGCCACACCUGCCAGCAAUCAACUCCAUCCCUGCCUGCAUAUCAACCCCGGUUCCCCACACCAUCUCCGCUUGAUCGUCAUUGCUCCUAACCUGGUUCACUCACCUCCGUCCUCUGUUCCGUCAGCUGGCCUCGCCACCCUGCCCUCUCCCCUCGGACCUCUUCCACCUUUUGACGUGUUUAUAUCAGAGAAGGCUGGCACUGCUACCAAAGGAAACAAUCACUGUGUCGAAAGGGUGUGCAGAACUUCUCCUGCCCUCCAGCUACUCUUUCAAUGGUGCUAUUAAUGCUAAAAACUCUCAGCUUCCACCAUCUAUUGCUACCCCUUCUGUGUCAAAACAAAACUCUUCCAAAACAAA